rnacentral:rRNA from 1 species
UGGGGGAUAUUGCACAAUGGGCGAAAGCCUGAUGCAGCGACGCCGCGUGGGGGAUGAAGGCCUCCGGGUUGUAAACUUCUUUUGCUCUGAACAAGGCGCACCAUGGGGUGUGUUGAGUGUAGGGGUUGAUUAGCGCCGGCUAACUACGUGCCAGCAGCCGCGGUAAUACGUAGGGCGCGAGCGUUGUCCGGAAUUAUUGGGCGUAAAGGGCUUGUAGGUGGCUGGUUGCGUCUGUCGUGAAAGCUCAUGGCUUAACUGUGGGUUUGCGGUGGGUACGGGCUGGCUUGAGUGCAGUAGGGGAGGCUGGAAUUCCUGGUGUAGCGGUGGAAUGCGGAAAUAUCAGGAGAAAUACCGGUGGCGAAGGCGGGUCUCUGGGCUGUUGCUGACACUGAGGAGCGAAAGCAUGGGGAGCGAACAGG